rnacentral:lncRNA from 1 species
GUGAAUGAAGAAGGCACAGAAGCUGCAGCUGCUUCUGCCGGCGUUAUAAGUGAGAGGAGGAUGCCCAUGACAUUUGUGGCUGAUCGUCCAUUCCUCUUCACGAUCAGGGAAGAAACGACCGGAACAGUUCUGUUCAUCGGUAACCUGCUCAACCCUCUUGCCGGCUGAGUGUUACAACCCCCUGGGAAAGGGCAUCAGAUGUACGUAGAAUAAUACGCGCGAGACUGUAGUAAAUAAAAUGUAUGAUCCUUGUAUACAUGUACUAUGUUUGGUUAUUACCUAAUCACCCUGUACUUGCAGCAGUUGGUCUUGUUUCUCCCAUGUGGCGAUUUUUGUUUGUUCUCCCAUGGCGUUUAUCCAUGUGUAGAAUCUUGAUUCUGAAUACUUAUUUUAUGAUGUACUCUGUUUGAACAAUAAAAGUUUUAGCCGACUGCAAACGUCGGUUAGUGUUAAAGUAUUUAAUAUAUAGAAUGGACGAGUGCUAGUGUUGUACCAUACACAUGGUUGGUGAUGAAAAAGAUUAAACUUUGAAUAUUCUAUAAAAUAUUAUUUAACUUGGGACGAGGAUCUUCUUUGUGAGGAUCUUAUGAAUUAAUUUAUCUUAACGGUUCAUUGUACAUCGUGUGACCAUCUUUCAUUAGAUACUUUUUGUGUUAAAUUUUAAAUAAAUUCAAAAUAAUUUUUGGCUGCAGGAUGAUUGAUAAACAGAUAUGAUGCAUUGAUUCCUAAAGUCCUCACAAAGAGAAUCCGGAUGUUUAUAGUCCUCCAUGACUGGAGAUGGCCUAAGAUGCUAAACACUUAACACUACCCAAUUUUUCCAGUUAGUUAAAUUUUCACAAUUAGUGUAUUAAAUUGCUUAAGAAAUGUUAUCAGCACUCUAAAAUAAUUGACCAUAUUUUCUUGACUCUUUUGUUAAAUUGCAUGAAGAUUUUUUUGGAUAGUCAAUAAUAUCUCCCAAUUGCUUAACAUAGAAUUAAAUAGAGUAUCGCUAACUAGAGCAUGAUAUGUUUCUGUGUCUUUGAUGCCCUUUGCUCGAGAAAAUUUAGUAUAGGGUUUUCAUCACAAAUGGUCCCUGACAUUGAUCAAACACAUCAUUUUGGUCCCUGACAUUGAAAAUCAAUAGAAAUGGUCCCUGACAUUGAUCAAACACAUCAUUUUGGUCCCUGACAUUGAAAAUCAAUAGAAAUGGUCCCUGACAUUGAUCAAACACAUCACAAAUAGUCCUUCCGUUAAAAACGUUUUGGGCAAUUUUCAAAGCUUUGUAACUCAAUCGUUUCUUAACCAAAUUCGACCCAUAAUAUAUCAAAAUGAAGAUAGGAAAGUGUAGAACAAGAUUAUACCUAUUUGGAAACCCAAUGGUUGCCGGAGAUGGCCGGAAAACAGCCUCAAAUGUGACUGGUCCGCGAAAAAACUGGAAAACUCGCCUGAAAUGGGGUAAACUUUAAACAUUCAUAACUUCUUCAAUAAUCAACGAAAUCGAGUGAUUCAAAAAUGAAAAUCAUACUUCUCGACGAGACUAAGAGAAUGGUAGCUUUCUUGAUGGCUAACUCAUUGUAGUUUGGCCGGAAAAUGACUCGAAAUUGGCUAACUCGAAAAUGGUUAUCCAAGUUCGAGCCAUUUUCCGGUCAAACCACGGUAAAUUAGUAGUCAAUAAAGAUACCAUUAUCUUUCUCUCAUUGAGAAGUAUGAUUUUCAUUUUUGAAUCACUCAAUUUCAUUGAGUAUUGAAGAAGUUAUGAAUGUUUAAAGUUUACCCCAUUUCAGGCGAGUUUUUCAGUUUUUUCGCGGACCAGUCACAUUUGAGGCUGUUUUCCGGCCAUCUCCGGCAACCAUUGGGUUUCUAAAUAGGUAUAAUCUUGUUCUACACUUUCCUAUCUUCAUUUUGAUAUAUCAUGGGUCGAAUUUGGUUAAGAAACGAUUGAGUUACGAAGCUUUGAAAAUUGCCCAAAACGUUUUUAACGGAAGGACCAUUUGUGAUGUGUUUGAUCAAUGUCAGGGACCAUUUCUAUUGAUUUUCAAUGUCAGGGACCAAAAUGAUGUGUUUGAUCAAUGUCAGGGAUCAUUUGUGAUGAAAACCCUUUAGUAUAUGAACGACAAACUACGUGUUAUUACGGCCACAGACGAUAAUCCAGACUAUUUGUUUAAUACUUAAGCUUACUUGUGGUCCCAUUAUGUAAAAAAAUUUUGCAUUAGUCUGCACACAAGAAAUUUUUUAUUGGUUUCAGUUGAGCUCAAAUAAUAAUAAUCUGUUCGUGUAAAAGUUAAAAUUUAUCUUAUUAUGUAAUUGAUUUAAAAUACCGUAAAUACUGAUUUAAAAUUAUCUCAUUGUCAGCUUGUGUGUCAUUCUCGUAGAAUUUGGAAUUAUUCACAUUGUUUAGUAACGUAGGAUAUUUCAAGAAGCAUUUUUGCUCACUAUCAUUUAGUGUAAUGUAUAUUCAUCAUUCUAUUUAUCAUCGUUAGAUGAGUUUGAAUUUUAAGAUCCGUGUAGUGGAUAGACACAAAUUUCAAAAUUCAAUCUCAUCUAACGAUAAUAAAUAUGAUGAUGAACAUAAAUCAAAUAAAUGAUGAUGAAAAAAAAUACAUAGAUAUUUCAGUACAUGAAAACGUCACGUUAAUGAAAGGAGCUGGAGCGCCUGCUGCUGACCUCGGUCAAACAGACGGUGUGGGUUUCACGUGGCUGGCGCGAAAUCUAAACCGUUAAUUUAAUGUUAGUUAUCUCUCCCCUUGUCACGACUCCCAUGUAAUGCUGUAAAGUCACAAGCACCCAUCGUUUGGUUCUAAUAUUACAACAGUACCGCCCAUGGAAACACAAUCUUAAGCAAUCUCUAAUACUCAUAAUGUUGUUGAAGUUUUGCACUAAUAAUAGUUGCUAAACAGUGAUUAGACAGUCAGAUAAGAGACAGGGUUUAUGAUGUGAUUUGGACGUCCCAUCCUUUGCCACUUAAAAUGUCUUACCUACCAAACAUAUCUUGAAAAAUAAUUUAGCUUGGUACGAAGAAUCACAAUUUUUGUUUAUAAUUGACGAAAUCAAUCAAUGCAUGUUUUUUAUCAAAUCAAUAUUUAUUGGGAUAUUCAUCCUUAAAAUCUUCAUUUUGUUAUAAAACAACAAUAUAUUUAUUAUUUUUAAAAUUUUGUAAUACGUUUAUUUAAGUAGUGACUUUGAACGUUUUAAAAUUGAAAAAUCAAUAUUUAAAUGCAAAGUUGUCCGUUUUGAAUAAUCUCUAACAAUAUUUUCCUUCUCGUAAAUGAGUAAGAUUGGUUUAUUUUGUACACAAUUAGAUAUUGAGAGUUGAAAUUCUAAAUACUAAGUUCUUCUUAACAUAUUUUCGUAACCAUUUAAGAUGUUUGUAUAUUCGAAGAAUAUGGAAAAAUUGAAUCAACCCAGAUUAUUAUUAUGGCUGUCGACAUCUUUUAUCAGAGGAUAGCCAUCAAGUCACACCGCAUAUCCAGAAAGAGAAAUCCAUCCAAAAAAUAGGAAAACGAAAUGACAUUCCUUAUUUUCCUCCAUGGACGUCCCUUCUCUCCCCACCACGAAGGUCCCAGCUGAAAAGAAACGGAUGGCACAAUCGUGAUUAUCACAAACAGGAAUGUCAAAUUGUAGCAAGAGCAUGGUCAGCGCCGUUACAAAUAAGUGGAAGUUCCUCGGAAGAGUAAGAGAACGCGACAAUCAUAACGUAAUCUAUCUCUUCACUUUCUCAAUCCUUUUCUAUCUUUUUUUUCUUUCUGGGUUCCUUGUACUUCUCAUAAAUAUUAAGAGUUUAAUUCAAAAGAAAGGAACUUUCUCUUUCAUUGCUUACAUUUUUUUUUUCAGAUUAUUUACUUUCCCUUCCUUGCAGUUGCUUGGAAGAAACCAAGCUCAGAAGACCUUUGUUUUUUGAGAAUUCAGUUCAAUCCGUUUAUAUAUAUAUAUAUAUAUGGUGUUGAUGAUUUACCAGAAGUGAUAGUGCUUCAACCGAGAAGAAGAAGCUUUUAGUCUUCAGAAAUUCAGAGAAAAGAUAAGGAAGUGGAAGAGUGAAGGAAAAGCAAAUCAAAAGAUGGGAGAAACUGCUCCUCAUCCUCCACCACAGGUGGUUGCUCGGCCGUCUCAGAUGCCUCUUGGGGCAGCGAAGGGUCCCCAUUUGGACUCCAACUGAGCAGCUCCACAACCUUCAGUAUUGCAUCCACUCCAACCCCUCUUAGCGUUAGUCUCUCUCUGUUUCUGUUAAUUUCUUCGUUCUGGGUUUUAUAUUUUUUGAGUAAAAAGCUGAUUAAAGUUGUGCUAUUUUAAUGGGUUGGUUUAAAAGUUGAAGCUUUUGGCACUACUUCUUAUUUAGUUUACUAGUUUGCUUUUUAUUCCUAAUUUUGCAAAUUACUUUUACUAUUUUUGUUUCGGAUUCUCUAAUUUAUUGUGUUCGAAUCUUUUUAAGUACUGUAAUUAGUUCUAAUAAAAUAAUAAGCAUAUGUUCCAUUACCAGUUUCAACUUAUCCUGCUUACAAGACAUCGAUAUCACUCGAAAAUGUUUAGGAAGUGUAAACGUAAAUUUCCCAUGUUUAUCAAAUGCAACAAACUGCUUCUAAUGGAUCGAAUUUUACAGCGGAAACAUUCGUACUCGCUUUUCAGCACUAUAUUGUGAUGCUCGGAUCCAUAGUUAUAAUUGCCACUAGUUUCGUGCCUCGGAUGGGUGGGGAUCAUGUAAGUUAUGUCCUCUAUACAGUAAAGUUUAUAAUAUGCCGGUUAAGAUUAGCGAUCACACACGUAGCUUUGAAUCCGUGAUGUUAAUGUUUGGGUUUUGUUCUCCCUUUGUGAUCAGGGUGACAAGGCACGCGUGAUUCAGACGAUGCUGUUUAUGGCAGCAAUAAACACUUUGAUCCAAACAUUCACGGGACAAGGCUUCCAACAGUGAUGACUUCGUCAUUCGCUUUUACCCUUCCGGUGAUGUCAAUCAUCAAUGAUUAUUCUGAUCGGAAUUUUAGAAGUGAACAUGAGGUAUGUAAAGUUUGAAACAUGUUAUUCAUAGAGGAUUUAACAUCACAUUAAUUUACUUCUUAAAUUGCUUUAAGAAAUUUCAGUUAUAGACUUUGAGAUGAAAAAUACGUGGUGCAAAAAACGUGUAAACCUUACAUACCUGUAGAAGACGUCAUGAUGAAUUUCUGGUUUUGAGGACGGAAUAGAUUGAAGCACGUCCAUGCACUGUUGCGUCAUAUGCAACAAACUGAUGGGGAGUUCUAGGGUUGUGGCAUUAGCAAUGUGACAGGGACCUCAAACUUACAUAGGCCUCACGUCCCUAGAACCCUACCCACUAAUGGAGACUAGAAACUCUUAUGAUCCUCUAACGAGAAUAAUAAAGCCAAUGGAAAUGUUAGCACACAAUUGUUGUACAUAUAACAGACUUCGAGCAAUUUUUGGAACACGUAAAACAUUGUUAAGAAUAAGAUCAUGAGUAUUGGUUUUAAUGGUUGUUGCAUCAAUAUUCUUAAUGGAUAAACCUGUUCCAUUUCCAACUGUGAUUUUAUCAAAACCUUGGAAUGGUGUAACUUGAUUCAAUGUGGUGGCAUCAGCAGUGAUAUGAUGAGAUGCACCAGUAUCAACAAUCCAUGCAUCAUGAGGAAUAUAUUGUUCUAUCUGCUGUGUUGCCAUAGCUGUUAAGUUUGCAGGUGGUUGUUGGCCUUGAAAAACAUAAUUCCCUUUGUGAUAACAUUCAAGAGCUGAGUGACCUUUUUUUCCCACAAAUCUGACACUCCAUUUGAAAUCUAGUAUUUGGUGUAGUAGCAUUUCUGUGAAAACAAUUGACUGCAGUAUGCCCUUUCUUGUUGCAGAUUUGGCACUCAAUCACUGUUGUUGACCUGCUCUCUGUGUUUCCAUUCCACACAUUUGAACCAUUUGACCUUGAAUUGCCAUACGAAAAAUCAGAAGAGUUUCCUAUGUUGUAACCCUUGCUUUUGAAUCCACCAUUUGUCUUGUAAUUAUUGUUACCCUUGUAGUUUGAACCACCAAAAGGUUUCUGCAUGAAAUGAGGUAUUGGACCAGAAUUUGAUGCAUUAGCCAUAAACCCAAAACCAUAGGGAACUUGAGGAUAAACUGGACCAGGAAAUUGCGGAGACAUAGGAGGUUGAGGCAUAUGAGGUUGCUGUGGAUAUUGUUGUGGCAAGACAAAUGGCUGUGGUUAUUGUGGCUGUGGAUAUUGUUGUGGAUAUUGCUGUGGUAAAACAAAUGGCUCAGCAGAAUAUGGAUAUGGAUUAGGAGUUAUAACACCACCAGUGGUUGCAGGUAAAUGACUAUGCCCUGCAGGAUUAGACCCUGAAGCAAAUGAAUUUCCCUGAGUUGACUAAGAACCCUAAACAUAUAAGGCAGAUAGACUUUGAGACCCAACACUUGUGUCUCAUUCAAUCUCUUUUUCAGCUCUAAAUUUUUUCAAGGAAAUGGAUGAUUCUUUGCCAUAUAUCACAGUUCGAAUAGUUGCAUACUCCUUCGGCAAACCAGCUAAACCAGCAAUUAUAACAUCAUUAUCAGAAAUGAACUCUCCAGUAGCAGUUAAUUGUUCUCUUAUACUCUUCAAUCUUAACAGAUAUUUAUCCAUCAAAUCUCCUCAUUUUUGAAUGGUGUACAACUCAAUUUUUAAAUGAUUUACCCUAGUUUUAGACACUGAAGCAAAUCUAUCCACAAGAUUCGACCAAGCCUCACAAGCAGUUAAACAUCCAAGAACAUAUUUAAUAGCCUCAUCAAACAAAGUAGCUAGUAAAAGACUUAGUAAUGGAUAUGUGGAUUCCCAUUCAACAUAUUCAGCAAGUUCAGAAGUAACUCCUCUCUUAGUAUCUAUUACAAAUUUUUGUGGACAACCAAUAGUGCCAUCAAAAUGCCCAAACAAUUUAUGACCUUUCAACACAUAUUUGAACUGAAAAGCCCAUUUCACAAAAUUAUCAUCCUUCAACUUUAUUGUGAUCAUUCCCAGUUUCAACUUUAACACUUGAAGUAGUCAUGAUUUCUUGAUCGAACACAUAGAAUUUGCAAAUAACAAACAAACACCCAAAAAUUUCUGAUAUACGUAUUGAAAGGAAAGACUGAAACUUUCUCACAACCCAAGCAAGACUGAAACUCGCUUAAUACUCAGGAAAAACUGAAACUUUCUUGAUGAAUCUUGCACACAAAUACAACACACAAUUCCAAUUCGGAAAAGAAAACACAAAAUCUUCUAAUCAGGACUGAAACCCAAUUACUCAACAGAAAUUCACACUAUCACUUGAAUUGCAGCUGUGAUUGCAGCCACAAAUAGCCAGAAUACCAACCGCCAGAAAGAACAACAAGGAUCUGCAAUCGCCAGAACUUUUGAACAAACCCGUUGAAAAGACCUUUCAGAAUCCUUGAACUGGAUAGCAGCGAAAGAACUAGGAUCGAAAACGGUAGUGAACCAUGGUCAGCGAUGAUACCAUAUUAACAGUGUUGAAUUGUGGCCAAGUGGCCAUCACCUUUCGGCUAAUAAACAAACAAAGAAAAGAAAAAGAAAGACAAAAUGAUGAGGAAACAUCAUGAUGAGGAGGCAUCAUGAUUAUGCUUUCUUGUAGUUUUUUAAUAACCAUAAUUAUUGUUUUUGUUUCGGGUAGAAGAGAAGAAAGGGAGAGCUCAUUUUUUAGAAGAAAGCAUAUUAAAGAGAGAAGAGGAGAGAGAGAAGGUAGAGCCUUUUGGUUAUAAAAGGCAUUCGAUUAUGCCUUUGGAUGUGGGAGGGGGGGGAGCGGCAGAUGAGAGAGCACAGGGAGAGCAUUCGGCUCUCCCAUUUGAAUAUGAGCUGCUCCUUCCCACCAUUUGUAAUAAUCCCAUUUUGUUAGUAAUCACUCAAUCAAAGAUGUUGGUGCUACUUGUGUAGCUUUUGGGAGAGAAGGAUUUUGAUAUGUGUUUCUUCUUCUCCAUUUGUUUCUUAGUUUGAGUGAGAGCUAUUGGGUGUAUGUGGGAUUUGGGUUUGAGUGUUGAACUCUAUUUGUAAUCUCCUUUUGAUAUUAAUGGAAUUUCCUCGCCGUCUCGGAACUGGAUGUAGGCUUACGCCAAACCAGUAUAAAAAUCCUUGUGUCUUUUGGAUUAUUUGUCUUGUCAUAUUUUGCCGUUAUUAGCUUUGAUUUCAUAUUUGAAGCUUCCGCACAACAAGUGGUAUCAAAGCUCCGGGUUUCGACUUGGAGGCUUUGUACUAGUAUGUCUAUGAAAUCUUCAAAUGACGGUGAAAUAUGUUUUUUGGAAAAAUUCGACUGGAGGAAUGACUUUGGCAUUUGGUCAAUUGGAGAUGCAGAGUUUGGCUGCAAAAUGCGUGGCGUUGAAGAAGGAUAGUAAGGGACUAUGCUGCAGUCAUUGAGCUUGCAGAUUGGAGAAUGGUUUCGGAAACAGCGUGUCUGCUGCAAUGUUGCCGUCGAUGUUGUUGAAGUGUUGGUGUUCGACAGCUGCAGAUGUAGUGUACUGCUUUUGGUGGGUUCUCUGUUGGUCAUCGCUGCACCGGAGGUGUUUGUGGGCUGUUGUCGACGAGUUGAGUGGGAAGGAGAAAAGGUAGAAGCAGUUGAAAAUUGAAAAGAAAAUGUUGGUUCUUUUUCUUUCGGCAUUUGUUUUGGCAGAAGGACAUCAUGAUGACAAAUGAUGUUGUUGGCUGGAAGAAAAGGGAAAAAGGCUAAGGCUAAGUUUUCUUUUCUUUGGCAUUUUUUCAACGGCAGAAAAUUUUUGGUUCUUUUUUCACUCCCAUUAGUUGCCUUUGGAGCAAGUUGAUGGAAACAUUGGAGGAGUUUGUGAGGGCCAAUUUGUUGAGUUCUGCAAGUUUGGAUAGUGAGGCACCACACUAUUUUGGAUACACCACAUGCACUGCAGAACAUUUGUGUGGAACCCUCUUGUAGAAGGCAAGUUAUAUGCUUUCUAACUUUGUUUGGUCUAUGGACAUUUAGUUGGAUUUGUUUGCCACUGCUAUUUGGUUUGUUGGUCUCCAUCAUCUGCAAUUAGUUUUCUUGAAGACUCCAGUUGAGGUAUGGUUUUGGAUCUCCUGCUGAUUAUUUGAAUUUGAAAUUUUUGGUUGUCCUGUUGGUGCUCAUGUGAUGAUGGUAAACUUGAGUGGAGGGCAUAGUUUUUUUGUAUGUGGUAUGUUAGACCUUGUUGCCAAAUUUGUAAUCAGUUUUGACUUGGAGAAUAUGCCGUGCUAUUUGAAUGAGUCUAUUGAUGCAGUUUAAGACCAUGGUGUUUGUAAGCAGGUGGAGUUCGUUCUGUGUCCAACUUUGGUAUGGUGUGCUUGAUCUUUUGUUAGUGAUAUUGAAGAAUUUCAGUUCUUCGUUUGAAUCACUUUUGUUUUGAUCAAGGCACUUAUGGUUUGCAAAUUUGGAGAAUACGGUAGAGAAAUGGUCUACUUUUGUUGGCUUUGGUAUAAUUUGAGUCGAGGUGGAGAUCAUUAUGAGUACCGGAAAGUUUGGGGAAUUUGAUUUAGUUCCCGUUGUCUUUAGUUUGUACUUUGGGUGAUUAUGGUGAUUGUUGAUUCGAUUCUCUGUGAUGGUUUCGGAACUUGGCCAAGGUGGAGAUUGUUGAAUUGUGGCCAAGUGGCCAUCAUCGGCUAAUAAACAAACAAAAGAAAAGAAAAAGAAAGACAAAAUGAUGAGGAAACAUCAUGAUGAGGAGGCAUCAUGAUUAUGCUUUCUUCUUUUGUGGUUUUUUAAUAACCAUAAUUAUUGUUUGUUUAUUAGCCGAAAGGUGAUGGCCACUUGGCCACAAUUCAACAAUCUCCACCUUGGCCAAGUUCCGAAACCAUCACAGAGAAUCGAAUCAACAAUCACCAUAAUCACCCAAAGUACAAACUAAAGACAACGGGAACUAAAUCAAAUUCCCCAAACUUUCCGAUACUCAUAAUGAUCUCCACCUUGACUCAAAUUGUACCAAAGCCAACAAAAGUAGACCACUUCUCUACCGUCUUCUCCAAAUUUAAAUCCUAUGAAGAAAGGGAGAGCUCAUUUUUUAGAAGAAAGCAGAUUGAAGAGAGAAGAGGAGAGAGAAGGUAGAACCUUUUGGUUAUAAAAGGCAUUCGAUUAUGCCUUUGGAUGUGGGGAGAGCGGCAGAUGAGAGAGCACAGGGAGAGCAUUCGGCUCUCCCAUUUGAAUAUGAGUUGCUCCUUCCCACCAUUUGUAAUAAUCCAAUUUUGUUAGUAAUCACUCAAUCAAAGAUGUUGGUGCUACUUGUGUAGCUUUUGGGAGAGAAGGAUUUUGAUAUGUGUUUCUUCUUCUCCAUUUGUUUCUUAGUUUGAGUGAGAGCUAUUGGGUGUAUGUGGGAUUUGGGUUUGAGUGUUGAACUCUAUUUGUAAUCUUCUUUUGAUAUUAGUGGAAUUUCCUCGCCGUCUCGGAACUGGAUGUAGGCUUAUGCCGAACCAGUAUAAAAAUCCUUGUGUCUUUUGGAUUAUUUGUCUUGUCAUAUUUUGCCAUUAUUAGCUUUGGUUUCAUAUUUGAAGCUUCAGCAAUACAAACAGUACAAGAUCAAUGAAUUCCUAUGAAUGAAUAAACUAAAGAAAUCGAAGAAAGAGAAUAACGAGAGAGAAAAGCUUUUCAUUUAUAUUGCUCUAACAGAAAAUGAUUACAUGAUAAAAAUCUAAGUCUCCAAAACAAUAAUUAUAUAGAGACUAGAAUGAGCAGAAUCACAAUAUUGCCUUUCUAACUAAUUCUUAUCUUCUAACAACCUCAACACUCACAAGCUUGACACUUGUCAUUUCUUACAACCACUCCUAACAAAUCCUAACUGUUUAUCUGGUUAAUAUAACGGAUGGCCGACGACCGACACCGAGAUUUUCCCAAACCUUGGUCCUUACUCUCGUAUAAAUUCGAAACGAACAGUAAACAAUUUUCUCGCAAUCGGAAGCACGGCAAACAUGGAUCUGAGAGAAAGCAUCAUCAACCAAAACGACGUCGCAAGGAGGCUGACGAAGCAGCUGGUUCAGACCGAAGGCAAGCAGUCGAACCUCGUGUACUCGCCGCUGUCCAUCCACGUGGUGCUGAGCCUGAUCGCAGCCGGGUCAAAGGGUCCCACCCAGGAGCAGCUGCUCUCAUUCCUCAAGUCAGAGUCCACCGACCACCUCAACUCCUUCGCCUCCCAGCUCCUGCCCUUUAUCUUCUCCGAUGGGUCCCCCGUGGGCGGCCCCAAGCUGGCGUUUGCGAAUGGCGUUUGGGUGCAGAAGCCUCUCCCUCUGAAGCCUUCCUUCAAGCAGGUGGUGGAAGCUUCUUACAGGGCCGCUCUCGUCCUAGUUGAUUUUCAGACCAAUGUAAGCUCCCAAACCCUCUGUCAUGUCGUUUCGAUUGUUUUUGUCGAUGCUGCUCAUGAUCAAAGUCUUUGGUUGUAAUUUCAGACCAAUGUUUCAAUGUCGAUGCUGCUGAUGCUCUUUUGUUCGUUACUGUUUUUGGUUGUAAUUGAUCGAGAUAUGCAGGUUGAUAUCAUUGUUUUCUAACUUGUCGUAACUGUUGUUGGUGCUCAAGGCUGCUCAAGUGGAGUCGGAAGUGAAUUCAUGGGCUGAAAAGGAGACGAGCGGCCUUAUCAAGGAUCUACUUCCUCCCGGGUCACUUGACAGCUUCACCAGGCUCAUCUUUACCAAUGCAUUAUACUUCAAGGGAGCUUGGAAUGAGAAAUUUGAUGCAACAGCUACAAAAGAGCAUGACUUCCACCUUCUCGACGGGAGCACAGUUAAGGCGCCCUUCAUGACCAACAAGAACCAGCAGUAUGUAAGUGCCUUUGACGGUUUCUCAGUCUUAGGGCUUCCUUACAAACAAGGUGAAGACAAGCGGCGCUUCUCCAUGCACAUCUUUCUUCCACAGGAGAAAGAUGGGCUGCCAGCUUUGGUUGAGAAACUUGGCUCUGAGUCCGGGUUUUUAGAUCGCUAUCUUCCCAAACAACCAGUUGCAGUGGGCGACUUCAGAAUCCCAAAGUUUAAGAUCUCAUUUGGGUUUGAAGCUUCCAAUGUCCUAAAGAGUCUGGGACUGGUGCUGCCUUUCGUGGGUGGAGGUCUGACAGAGAUGGUGGACUCGCCCGAGGGUAAGAAGCUAUAUGUUUCCAACAUAUUCCACAAGUCGUUCAUCGAAGUGAAUGAAGAAGGCACAGAAGCUGCAGCUGCUUCUGCCGGCGUUAUAAGUGAUAGGAGGAUGCCCAUGACAUUUGUGGCUGAUCGUCCGUUCCUCUUCACGAUCAGGGAAGAAACGACCGGAACAGUUCUGUUCAUCGGUAACCUGCUCAACCCUCUUGCCGGCUGAGUGUUACAAUCCCCUGGGAAAAGGCAUCAUGUGUACGUAGAAUAAUACGAGAGUAUAGUAAAUAAAAUGUAUGAUCCUUGUAUACAUGUGCUAGGUUUGGUUAUUACCUAAUCACCCUGUACUUGCCGCAGUUGGUCUUGUUUCUCCCAUGUGGCGAUUGUUGCUCGUUCUCCCAUGGCGUUUAUCUAUUUGUACAAUCUUGAUUCUGAAUACUUAUUUUAUGUUGUACUCUGUUUGAACAAUUAAAGUUUUAGCCGACUGCAAACGUCGGUUAAGUGUUAAAGUAUUUGGACAGGGAUUGUCUGCUUUUUCAUUUUUCGUGUCCUUCUGUUUUGUGUGUUCACAGUUAAACUACGUCAAUAUUUUAUAUUAUUUUUUUAUAGAAAUAAUAAGAUAAAAAUAAAUAAUAAUAUAAAAUAUUAACGUGACUUAACUGUAACCACACAAACAGGAGGGCACGGAAGACCACCGGAAGUGGAAGAGCGGACAUUCUUGUCCAAAGUAUUUAAUAUAUAGAAUGUACGAGUGCUAGUGCUGUACCAUAUACAUGGUUGGUGAUGAAAAGGAUUAAACUAUGAAUAUUCUAUAAAAUAUUAUUUACCCUAGGACGAGGAUUUUCUUUGGAUCUUCUUUACGAGGAUCUUAGGAAUUAAUUCAUUUUAACGGUUUAUUGUACAUCGUACGGUCAACUUUCGUUAGAUACUUUUUAUGUUUAAUUUUAAAUAAAUUCAAAAUAAUUUUUCACUGCAUGAUGCAUUGAUUCCUAAAGCACUCGCAAAGAGACUCCAGAUGUUUAGUUCUCCAUGACUGGAGAUGGCCUAAGAUGCUAAACACUUAACACUAACCAAUUUUUCCGGUUAGUUAAAUUGUUUAAUAAAUGCUAUCCACACUCUAAAAUAAUUGACCAUAUUUUCUUGACUCUUUUGUUAGAUUGCAUGAAAUAUUGUUCGAGUAAAUAAUCUCUCAAGUAUCACUCAGACUUCAUAAUGAUUUUGAUUUUGAUUACAUAGUAAGCAUGUCAUUAAGGUCAAAUUUUGAACAAACACCCAAUUACAUAGCACGCAUGUUAUUAUGGUGUAUGCUCAUUGUCACUUUCAAAACUUGACACCUGUCUACUAACAUAACCGAUGGCCGACGACCGACACCUUCCCAAACCUUGGUCCUUACCCUCGUAUAAAUUCGAAACGAACAGUAAACAAUUUUCUCGCAAUCGGAAGCACGGCAAACAUGGAUCUGAGAGAAAGCAUCAUCAACCAAAACGACGUCGCAAGGAGGCUGACGAAGCAGCUGGUUCAGACCGAAGGCAAGCAGUUGAACCUCGUGUACUCGCCGCUGUCCAUCCACGUGGUGCUGAGCCUGAUCACAGCCGGGUCAAAGGGUCCCACCCAGGAGCAGCUGCUCUCAUUCCUCAAGUCAAAGUCCACCGAUCACCUCAACUCCUUCGCCUCCCAGCUAGUGUCCGUGAUCUUCUCCGAUGGGUCCCCCGUGGGCGGCCCCAAGCUGGCGUUUGCGAAUGGGCUUUGGGUGCACAAGCCUCUCACGCUGAAGCCUUCCUUCAAGCAGGUGGUGGACGCUUCUUACAAGGCAGCUCUCGCCCUAGUCGAUUUUCAGACUAAUGUAAGCUCCCAAACCCUCUGUCAUGUCGUUUCGAUAGUUUUUUUUUCAAUGCUGCUCAUGAUCAAAGUCCUGAAUUUUUUUUCCCGAUUUGAUUAGAGAUGUAUAAAUAUUUCCUAAAUUGCAGGCCUGCUGAUGCUCUUUUAUUCUUGUAGCAUUUCAACUAAAUAUUUCCUCUCUAAUCAUUACUGUUUGUGCUUGUUCUUGUGCAUAGCCGUUACGAAAUCGUAUCGAAGAUUUUUUUGUUCGUUACUGUUUGUGGUUAUAAUCUAGGUAUUAAAUAUUGAUAAUAUCGGAAAUAUCGGUAGUCCAGAAACACGGAAAUAUUGAUGGAAAUAUCGGGAUAUUAUCGAUAUGUAUAAAAAUAAUAUGGAAACCACGGAAAUUGUAAGAAAAACUUGGAAAUUUUUAUUGAAACUUUGCAGGAUGUUUAUUUAGUCAAUUAUCUAUUAGUUUAUCACAAAAUAUUGGAAGGAAAUGUAUUACAUAAUAGAUUUAACUGAUUUAAGUUGAUUAUAUAGCGAACUAGCGAACUACCAAACAUUAUGAGUUAGAAAAUAUGUAGUAAUUAAUAAAAGAAGUUUAAACACACAGUCACCGACUAUUAAAAAUUGUACAUGUAAAAGCUGUAAAAGUUGAAUUAUUUAGAUGCUUUUUUUUCUUACAUGCCACCCACACACACACACACACAGACUCUCACACGCCAACACACACGCACACACAGAUCACACACACAUCACACACACAGACAGAGACUGAGGUCUCUCUUUCUCGAUCCUUCUCUCUUCUCUCUCGAUCCUUCUCCCUUCUCUUCGACAGAGACUGAGGUCUAUCUCUCUCUCGAUCCUUCUCUCUUCUCUCCCUUCUCCAUUCUCCCACACACACACCCAGAUCUCUCGAUCUCUCUUCUCCCUUCUCCCACACACACGCACAGAGACCUCGCCCCUCCCCCCUCGUCAUCGUCUCCACCGCAAAUCUAGGUCUUUGAACGUAAAUUGCAGGCCUGCUGAUGCUCUUUUAUUCUUGUAGCAUUUCAACUAAAUAUUUCCUCUCUAAUCAUUACUGUUUGUGCUUGUUCUUGUGCAUAGCCGUUACGAAAUCAUAUCGAAGAUUUUUUGUUUGUUACUAUUUGUGGUUAUAAUCUAGGUAUUAAAUAUUGGUAAUAUCGGUAGUCCAGAAACACGGAAAUAUUGAUGGAAAUAUCGGGAUAUUAUCGAUAUGUAUAAAAAUAAUAUGGAAACCACGGAAAUUGUAAGAAAAACUUGAAAAUUUUUAUUGAAACUUUGCAGGAUGUUUAUUUAGUCAAUUAUCUAUUAGUUUAUCACAAAAAAAUUGGAAGGAAAUGCAUUGCAUGAUAGAUUUAACUGAUUUAAGUUGAUUAUAUAGCGAACUAGCGAACUAGCAAACAUUAUGAGUGUAGAAAAUAUGUAGUAAUUAAUGAAAGAAGUUUAAACACACAGUCACCGACUAUUAAAAAUUGUACAUGUAAAAGCUGUAAAAGUUGAAUUAUUUAGAUGUUUUUUUUUCUUACAUGCCAUCCACACACACACACACACACAGACUCUCACACGCCAACACACACCACGCAUACACAGAUCACACACACAGACAGAGACUGAGGUCUCUCUCUCUCGAUCCUUCUCUCUUCUCUCUCGAUCAUUCUCCAUUCUCUCUCGACCUAGACUGACUCUCUCUCUCUCUCUCUCUCUCUCUCUCUCUCUCUCUCUCUCUCUUUCCCACACACACACAGAUCUUUCGAUCUCUCUUCUCCCUUCUCCCACACACACGCACAGAGACAUCGUCCUUCGUCAUCGUCAUCGUCUCCCACACACACGCACAGAGACCUCGCCCCUCGUCAUCGUCUCCACCGCAAAUCUAGGUCUUUGAACGUAAAUUGCAGGCCUGCUGAUGCUCUUUUAUUCUUGUAGCAUUUCAACUAAAUAUUUCCUCUCUAAUCAUUACUGUUUGUGCUUGUUCUUGUGCAUAGCCGUUACGAAAUCGUAUCGAAGAUUUUUUGUUCAUUACUGUUUGUGGUUAUAAUCUAGGUAUUAAAUAUUGGUAAUAUCGGAAAUAUCGGUAGUCCAGAAACAUGGAAAUAUUGAUGGAAAUAUCGGGAUAUUAUCGAUAUGUAGAAAAAUAAUAUGGAAACCACAAAAAUUGUAAGAAAAACUUGAAAAUUGUUAUUGAAACUUUGCAGGAUGUUUAUUUAGUCAAUUAUAUAUUAGUUUAUCACAAAAAAUUGGAAGGAAAUGCAUUGCAUGAUAGAUUUAACUGAUUUAAGUUGAUUAUAUAGCGAGCUAGCAAACAUUAUGAGUAGAAAAUAUGUAGUAAUUAAUGAAAGAAGUUUAAACACACAGUCACAGACUAUUAAAAAUUGUACAUGUAAAAGCUGUAAAAGUUGAAUUAUUUAGAUACUUUUUUUUCUUACACGCCACCCACCCACACACACACACACACUCUCACACGCCAACACACACGCACACACAUACACACAUCACACACAGACAGAGACUGAGGUCUCUCUUUCUCGAUCCUUCUCUCUUCUCUCUCGAUCAUUCUCCCUUCUCUCCGACAGAGACUGAGGUCUCUCUCUCUCUCUCGAUCCUUCGCUCUUCUCUCCCUUCUCCAUUCUCCCACACACACACACAGAGAUCUCUCGAUCUCUCUUCUCCCUUCUCCCACACACACGCACAGAGACAUCGUCCCUUGUCAUCGUCAUCGUCUCCCACACACACAUACACAGACCUCGCCCCUCGCCCCUCGUCAUCGUCUCCAUCGCAGAUCUAGGUCUUUGAAUGUCAAAGUUUCGAGCGCACCUCAAAUCCAGGCAAUCUGAUUCUGACGCUGUAGUCGUCGCCGCCACCACCAACUUCCUAAGCCAAGAAUGGAGAACCUGAUCUCGUUGGUGAACAAAAUCCAGAGGGCUUGUACUACUCUAGGGGACUAUGGCGAAGGUAGUGCAUUCGUCGUCGCCGUCGUCGCCAUCGCCGUCAGUGGUCAGAUCAACUCCCGGUCCCUCACCUUCUUACCUCUUCGAUUGAUUCAUGCAUAUGAAUUGUGGUUGUGUUUUCAAUCGCUCUGUAGCUUAGAUCUUGAUCUUAAUCAUGUUUUUGCAAGGUUUUUGGGAUGAAAUCGGCUCGGGAAUCGGCACACCCAUUUCCGGCGUUCUUCUCCGAGUAGCCAGUUCCAAAAAUAUCGUGAUAAUUUCGGAAAUAUUACGAUAUUAUCGAUAGUAUAGCUAUAUUUUGACGAAAACCCUUUGGAUACCUAUUAAAAUAUCGGUCCGGCGAAAAACCGAUAAUAUCGACGAUAUAUUGGCGAUUUUGUUCCUUGGUUAUAAUUGAUCGAGAUAUGCAGGCUGAUAUCAUUGUUUUCUAACUUGUCGUAACUGUUGUUGGUGCUCAAGGCUGCUCAAGUGGCGUCGGGAGUGAAUUCAUGGGCUGAAAAGGAGACGAGCGGCCUUAUCAAGGAUCUACUUCCUCCCAGGUCACUUGACAGCUCAACCAGGCUCAUCUUUACGAAUGCAUUGUACUUCAAAGGAGCUUGGACUGAGAAAUUUGAUGCAUCAGCUACAAAAGAGCAUGACUUCCACCUUCUCGACGGGAGCACAGUUAAGGCGCCCUUCAUGACCAGCAAGAGGAAGCAGUAUGUAAGUGCCUUUGACGGUUUCUCAGUCUUAGGGCUUCCUUACAAACAAGUUGAAGACAAGCGGCGCUUCUCCGUGCACAUCUUUCUUCCAGAGGAGAAAGAUGGGCUGCCAGCUUUGGUUGAGAAACUUGGCUCUGAGUCCGGGUUUUUGGAUCGAUAUCUUCCCAAACAACCAGUUGCAGUGGGCGACUUCAGAAUCCCAAAGUUUAAGAUCUCAUUUGGGUUUGAAGCUUCCAAUGUCCUAAAGAGUCUGGGACUGGUGCUGCCUUUCGAGGGUGAAGGAGGUCUGACAGAGAUGGUGGACUCGCCCGAGGGUAAGAAGCUAUAUGUUUCCAGCAUAUUUCACAAGUCGUUCAUCGAAGUGAAUGAAGAAGGCACAGAAGCUGCAGCUGCUUCUGCCGGCGUUAUAAGUCAGAGGAGUAUGCCCAUGACAUUUGUGGCUGAUCAUCCAUUCCUCUUCACGAUCAGGGAAGAAACCACAGGAACAGUUCUGUUCAUCGGUAACCUGCUCAACCCUCUUGCCGGCUGAGUGUUACAAUCCCCUGGGAAAAGGCAUCAUGUGUACGUAGAAUAAUACGAGACUAUAGUAAAUAAAAUGUAUGAUCCUUGUAUACAUGUGCUAGGUUUGGUUAUUACCUAAUCACCCUGUACUUGCCGCAGUUGGUCUUGUUUCUCCCAUGUGGCGAUUGUUGUUCGUUCUCCCAUAUGGCGUUUAUCUAUUUGUAGAAUCUUGAUUCUAAAUACUUAUUUUAUGUUGUACUCUGUUUGAACAAUU